UACAGAGGGUGCAAGCGUUGUUCGGAAUCAUUGGGCGUAAAGCGCACGUAGGCGGCUUUGCAAGUCGGGUGUGAAAGCCUGGGGCUCAACCCCAGAAGUGCAUUCGAAACUGCAGAGCUUGAGUCUUGGAGAGGGUGGUGGAAUUCCGAGUGUAGAGGUGAAAUUCGUAGAUAUUCGGAGGAACACCAGUGGCGAAGGCGACCACCUGGACAAUUGCUGACGCUCAGGCACGAAAGCGUGGGGAGCAAAAGGG
rnacentral:rRNA from 1 species